UCUCCGUUGGUGAACCAGCGGAGGGAUCAUUACAGAGUUGCAAAACUCCCAAACCAUUGUGAACGUUACCUAUCCCGUUGCUUCGGCGGGCGGCCCGGGCCCCGCGCCCGGCGCCCCCCGGCCCCCCGUGGGCGCCCGCCGGAGGUAAACCAACCCUUGAAUUGCAUGGCCUCCCUGAGUCUUCUGUACUGAAUAAGUCAAAACUUUCAACAACGGAUCUCUUGGUUCUG
rnacentral:misc_RNA from 1 species